CCUGCGCGGCGGAGAGAACAGACUUCCUCCCUCCACGCCGCGCUGGGUGGCGAAUCCCCGUGAGGGUCGCGCCCCCAAAGUCUCUGCAAACCGGCCCCGCUGCUGGGGACACUGAGCCACCGGUACCGCCGGGUGGGCAGAUUCUGGGGGAGCCGCCGCCCCACCCCCACCUCAUGGUCCAGGACUCCGGGUCCCCUCCAGGGGGGCUGCAGGAGACGCUCCCACCCCCACUCAGCUUUUCCGUGGAAGCCGACGCCCGGAGCCUGCAGACACCGCGACACCUCGGGGUGCCCCCACCCUGCCCACUCCACGGUCAGCCGGGCCGUGCUCCCCUCCCCCACGCUCCCUCCUGGGACCUGCUGCCCCCACCCGUCACCAGGCGACGGUGCCGCUCCCUCCAUUGUGGGGCCUGCAGGACUCGCCGGGGUAUAUGCCAGGAAGACUCUGGAACCCCACAGCCGGCAGCACCGCCCAAUGUGCCUGUCACAUGUGGCAUCAGCCCAGGUCCUAGAGAGAGGCGGCUCUGAGGGUCAUGCACAUGCGAUUGUGCACACACUUGCACGUACACGUGGACAGAUAUACACACACACCUACACACAAACAUGUACACACUCCCGCACACAUGUGCAAAUACAUACACCUGUGCACACACAGGCACAUUCACAAACGUACACGGAAACACCAGCACACGUGCGCACAUACGUGAAUGCACACGCACACACACGCAGAGCCCAGGCACACGGCGAGAGCCAUCGGAGCGCUGCCAGGUACGCAGGCCACUCGAGGCAGCACACACCCUCCUGGUUUCACGCAGCCUGGUGAGCUCCGGACCUCAGGUGCAAGCAGGAGGGGAUCUCUCCCCCCGACCCCCGCCCCGUCCAGGUGGGGCCAAGCGGAGUGGGGUGGGUGAGCCAGCGCCAGCCACAGAGGACCCCGCAGGCCUCCCCCGUGGCAGAGCCUCCGAGGCUGGGAUCCGUCUUCCACCUCCUUCGUCCUCACCACCGGGCAGAGGGGCGUCGAUGACAACUGCCACACCGGGAGCCGGCCACACCCCGGACACGGCGCCAGCCAUGACAGCCCCGCCUGUGGGACAGGCCGGCUCGCUCGCCAGAGCCGCAGGUCAGACCCUCCCUCCCAGCAGGACUCAGAGCUCGUGCUCACCCGGAGACCCGCACACCGCAGCUCGGCAGAGCGGCAGGGCAGGCGGAACGCAGGUGAGCCGGGAAGAGCCCCACGGGCCGCCCAGAGCCGCACCAGGGCCUCGCCCUGCCCGCCCUGCCCUGCCCAGGAGCACUGGCCGGGAGAGUCAGCGUCCACUCCAGGACCUCCCUUUACUGCUGCUGCCAGCAGCUCCGGGAGGCUCCUGGGCUGCCUCUUGCUCAGACGGGUGCAGUAGCCCAGGGGCCCCUUCCCGCCAGCCCCCAGAAUGAGCUCAAGGAGUGGCCCAGGUCGUCCUGGAGCCAGCUUGGACCCCCUGGCCCCUCGUGGGAUGGCCAGGCCCCGUGCCCAGGACUGCUGGGCCCCUGGCACAGCGCCAGCCCCACACCUGGCCCCAUUCUCCAGGUGCUCUGAGGUGCCUUCCCUCCCAGGGACCCCCUGCCCUGCCCCCUGCGUCUCUCCCCAGGCACCGCUGCCUCCAGCACUGGCUGCCACACCCCUGGGCUCCACCACACGCUGCUGCGCCCACGCUCACAGCUGAGGGGAGACACCCGAGAGCCAGGCCCCUCCCCUGGGGAGAGCAGACACCUGGAAGACGCUGGCCACCGACAAAGGAGCCUACCAGGUCUGUCACAGCCCAGCCCCAAGGCCUCACCUCCGGACACCAUGGCUCCAGGCAAGAGCCCCUUUCGCCCCACCGGGCAAGCACAGGUGUGGUCACCUGGGGCGCUGGGAGCUCUGGAGCCUGUGGUGUCCACACAGGGCUGGCAGGGCCCUGCGGGGCAGCGAGGCAGUUGCCGACCCCAGGCCCCUCCUGCCUGAGCCUCAGGCCGCCAGGUCACAUGCGGACGUCAGCCCCACAUGUUCGCAGCGAUGACAACCACAAACAGCCCCCCCACUCCUGGCAGAGACCCACUGUGGGGUGACGCAGCCAUUCUGACCCAGAGCCCACCUGGCGGUGGGCUGAGCUGGUGAACUAAGCCGCACCCAGGGGGGCCCCAAGACCUGGGACGCGGCUGCAGCCCACUGGGUUUGUCCCCAGGGCUCCGUCCGGCCUCAUGGUUGGACUCCGCCUUGUCUCGGACGCCGAGCCAAGUGGCCACGGGGCGCAAGUGUACCUGGUGUCACAGAGAGAGGCGGACCCUCGGGGACCCCACACAGCGAGGGCGGGACAGGGCCAGGCUGCCCCUCUCGGGCUCAUUUGUUUUGCUGCCAAGUGGGAGGCCCAGGCAGCCCCUUUGUGUCUGGCACGUGCUGCUGGCACCACGUGGCCACGUGCAGAGAACCCCACAGCCCGGCCCCGCCCGGUAGGAAAAGGGGCUGCCGCCGCCGCCCUCCGGUCCCAGGCCGGCAGGAUGCGGGCAGGUGGCCCAGUUCCCAGGGCUCCCUGAACCUCCCUGGAGCUGAUGCUGGUGCCACCGGAGCCCUGAUGCCCUUGAGGACACUCACAGAUGCUGGAUGGCAGAGGCUGAGAGGUCUGGGAGGCUGGGCAGGGCCCCGCGGCACCCGGGCCAGGCGUGAAACUGGGACGGGAGCUGCCAGGGUGGCCGAGGAGAUAUGCCGUGUGUCUCACUCAACGCUGGUCUUUAUAAAUCACAACUCGCAAACCUGGUGCAUUUUGUUCCCACUCCCGCUUUGUAAAAUUCUUAUGGAGCUUAGAUUAUCAGAGGGUCGGAAAAAAAAAAUGCUGACUCCUAACCAGGCGACUUCAGAGCAGAUGCGGAGAGACCAAGCGACUUAUUUCCAAAGUGGAGCAGAUUUCGAAACAGUCAGAGGCGGGGCAUGGGGAGGAGUUUGCUGCCUGCAGCUGGGAACGGCUUGCCGGGAGGGAGCAGGCACGGGUAAAAGCCUGCCUGCGGAGACAGUGACACCAGCCAGGUGUGGAGCUUCCUCCAAGGUGGCACCGUGAGGCAGAGCCGGGACACCCUCCAGCCAGACGCCCCAGGGGACCAGAGCCCGUCCCGACCGUUCCCCCUGGACCGUGUUCUCGGGACCCCGCCCGGGGAGGCCCAGAAGCGAGGUCCUGCAGGGGAGGGGAGGGGCGCCAGGGAGGCAGGGACUCUGUGGCCUCACCGGGCACCAGCCCAGGGCGCCCCUCACACUUCGCAGGGGCCAGGGCUUCCCCAGAACUAGCCAUCCAUCGGACGAUCAAAAAAGAAAAAAAACACCUCAGUGAGGCCCAAGAGAGGUAAAUAGUGCAACUCUUCCUCUGACCAAAAUUAAUAAAACUAGAAGGUAAAAAUAGAAAUAAAAAUUUCCCAAUUUGUUGAUAUUUUGAAGUCACAUGACCCAGAAUAAGCGCACCCCGAGCAUGACUGGGGGAGGAGGGCUCGGCCAGCCUGAGCCCAGGGAAGGGCCGUGGCCUUGAACUUCCGCGUUCCCAGGUGAGCUCCAGAAGGAAUGGACCGCAGCCCCGGUUGUUCAAAGAUCGCACAAAGCGAAGGGAACAAGUCGGCAGGUUAGGGAGAAAGGCCACAACAGAGUACGAAGACGACAGCCCACGCUGACAAGGACACGAGGACACUGGGUCACUCCUCGCUGUCGGUGGGCGACACCGUGGCACGGCCCCCCAGGCCGAGGGUGGCUGGAGCCUUGCAAACCCGAGCGUGCGCUCCCCACAGGACCCGGCAGCCGCAUUCCCGAGCAUUUAUCCCAGAGAAAGGAAGACGUGCAUCCACGAAAAAAUCCGCACACGAUCAUCCAUGGCAGCUUUAUUUGUAAACAGCCAAAAACCGGAGGCACGCAGCAUGCCCUGCAGCUGACGCGUGGCCACACAGACCACGGCGCGGAAAGCCACGCCAGGACGUGGACGGGUGUCUGCGGCGCGGCGCGGGGGGAAGAAGCCGUCUGGAAGGCCACGCGCAGAGCGAGCCACUCCCACGGCAUUCUCGGCGUGGCAGAGUCCCAGGGCAGUGGGGAGGCUGCGGGGUCAGGGGUGCAGGGCGGGGAGGGAGUCGGGGCUCGACGCCCAAGGGGACGUUUGGCCGAGGUGCGUGUGCUUGUGUCUUGACGGCGGCGGCAGCUACACACGUGAUAAAUGGCAGAGAAGAGACACGCUGUGGGGUGCAUGUCCCAGCCACAUGGCGGAACCGUGGCAUGUACAACGUGGCCACAGAAGGAAUCCCGGAAUUCUCUGUGUCAUCUUUGCCACUUCCAUGAAUCUACAAUUAUGUCAACAUAAAAAGCAUCUUCUUAAAGAAACGUCACCCGUGCUUGAGCCGUGUCACGGGAGGCAGGAGUGCCGGAGUGGGGCAGCGCGCUGUCUAGGUGACUGCCGUGUCACGGGAGGCAGGAGUGCCGGCGUGGGGCGGCACGCUGUCUGGGUGACUGUCGUGUCACGGGAGGCAGGAGUGCCGGCGUGGGGCGGCACGCUGUCUGGGUGACUGUCGUGUCACGGGAGGCAGGAGAGCUGGCGUGGGGCGGCACGCUGUCUGGGUGACUGUCGUGUCACGGGAGGCAGGAGAGCCGGCGUGGGGCGGCACGCUGUCUGGGUGACUGUCGUGUCACGGGAGGCAGGAGAGCUGGCGUGGGGCAGACGCUGUCUGGGUGACUGUCGUGUCACGGGAGGCAGGAGAGCCGGCGUGGGGCGGCACGCUGUCUGGGUGACUGUCGCUCCGGCGACAUCUCAUCUCACAGAGUCGAGGAAAAGCCUCUUUGUGGUAGCAGCAAUUGUUAAAUCCUUUUGCACAGAGACGGCAGCCGGCCGCCACAGCUCGCAGCGAGGGGAGCAGGAGCGGGCGUUUGCGACGCCGCCUUCUACGAGGCGCCGAGAUUAACCGGAAAGCGGGGUGGGGUCCGGGGUCCCCGUGCGGAUGUUCCCAUGUGUCUCUCAGGGUUCACCCCGUGUGCAGAGGAGAAGUGUUCCGGGAACCGAGUUGCUGCUGGAUUUCAGUCUGUCCCUCUGGUCGCCGCGGCCGGAACCGUCCGUCAUUAUCUCACGGAGCAGUUGCUGGAAUGUGAGCCAGACUCAGCAACACGUGUGGCGUGAUUAGUGCUCCGUGUUCCAGUGAGUCUGAGGCUUCCACUGGGGACAACGUGCCUGUGAAGAGUCUCCCUGGCUGUGACUAACUUGGCUCAGCCACGGCCGAAGGCGGGGUCACCGAGAGUGGCCCCCAAGGUCUUGUCGCCAAUGCUGCACCCUCUGGCAGAACGUCCCCAACACCCAGCCGGGGGCAUCUUCCUGUUCUGGCAGCCCCCAGCUCAUCUGUGUCCUCACUGGGUCCUGCACUCUCCACGUGCCAGGCUGGGGGGCAGCGAGAGUCGUCACCUCCACCCCGCUGGGCUGGCGCUCUGUGUCCCCAGCCCAUGCCAGGAGGCCUCCUCCACCCAGCACUAGUGGCUCCACCCACCACGCUCACCUGGGGCAGGUUGUAAAAACCACCCACCUGGGCAGACCGGUGCCAGUGUGGCCAGGUAGGGCAAAGGCUCACUGGCUCUUGAGGGUCCCACAGGAGGGGGUGGGGCGGCUGUCUUAGGCCGCCCGUGUGCCGAGCCCAUGCGAGGCCAUGUCAGGGGUGUCUUCAAAGGACUGCUCUGGAGCUGCUCAUGGAGCUGCUCUGGGGCUCUGGCGGGAACCUCCUGGGGGGCCUGGGGCCCCUGCACGUCUGUGCCUCCCGCCCCCAGAACCAGCCCUGCAGGCUCCCGGCUAUGGUGCAGAGGGAGCGGUGGCUUUGUGCCCCUCACCGAGUUCUCCACCUUCCUCUCCGCUUGCAGCUCUGAUGGCCGGAGACUGAACGUGGACGGCCGGUGCCUGGUCUGCGAGAAUCUUCUGUAGCAUGAACCCCGAGACGCGGUCGGGGGCGGUCCCCUCAUCAGUGGGAAACCUGGACCAGAUACAUCCCCGCCUCUGGCAAACGCCACGCCCAGCGGGUGACACCUGCCAAGGCCAGGUCACCGGAGCAACACGGUCCACGUGGAGGGACCGACGCCCGCUGGGCUGGUUUCCAGCUGCCUCUGAACACCGGGCUCCGAGAGGGAUUGAGGGAGCCCAGACCCCUCUAAGAUGGGGCCAGACUCCAUUAUUGGGGUUCAUUCUCCCGGUCCUCCCAGAGAUCCAGAUCUGGUGGCUCUCGGGCUUCACCUGAAGAUCAGUGGAAGCCACGCACGGAGUUCCCUCUGCCCUGAUUAAUUCGCUUAGGCAAACGCACAGCCACGGAGCCCCCAACUCUGUGCGUGUCCGGGAAGGUGCGCACCCGCGUGCCGACACCCCACCGAGAACACACACUGCACCAUCGCCCUGAGAGAGCCCCCCGUGAGAGCCCCCCCACUUCCUGGACGGCCCCUGCACCCAGCAGCCACUUUCCUAUUUGUUUUCCCAGAGACUAGUCCCGCCUGCCCGGACCUGCACCUGCCACGCCGCUCCGCCUUCUCCACUCGCCGUGUCUCAGGGAUCCGCCCCGUUCUUGGCUGAACGAACGCUGGUCCUUUCCUUUCUCUCCUGGAAUGCGCCCGCCGUGCAGAGGAGCCACGGCAGCGACUUGGUCACCCGCCCCCAGACGGAGCACCUGGGCUGUGCCCUCUGAGGAGUAAUUUGCGUAUCCGGAUACAGGUCCUCGUCAGAUACACCGCAGGACUUCAGAAAGUUCGUGGAAAAAUAGAAUUAAAAGAUAAAAAUGGAAAACAUAAAUUUUAUUUCUCAUCACAAAUUCCAGCAAGGUCAAGAGACUCUGUCGGCAGACGCCUUCGUUCCUGGCCCUUCCAGCAAGCAGACAUGCAAAGCCCCUGAGCAGCUGCCAGGACCACUGCGGGGACCGUCCACCGCCCGGCUGCUCGGCCUGCCCUGUCGUCAGGACGGAGCCGGCAAAUUUCGUCCAGCCCUGAGCCCACGAUCGUCCCUGCCUUUCCUGUCCCUGUCCUCUCCGCCCGCCUGGGUCUCCACGCUGACAGUGUGUCCCCGGUGCCUGCCACAGAGCUGGGUCCAGCGCUGACCCAGGGUGACAAUUUCUGUCUCCGAAAUUUGCAUUAAAUGUGAUUUUAUGAUACGGUUGGGU